rnacentral:rRNA from 1 species
GAUGAACGCUGACAGAAUGCUUAACACAUGCAAGUCUACUUGAAUUUGGGUUUUUUACCUUCGAUUUGGGUGGCGGACGGGUGAGUAACGCGUAAAGAACUUGCCUCACAGCUAGGGACAACAUUUGGAAACGAAUGCUAAUACCUGAUAUUAUGAUUAUAAGGCAUCUUAGAAUUAUGAAAGCUAUAUGCGCUGUGAGAGAGCUUUGCGUCCCAUUAGCUAGUUGGAGAGGUAACGGCUCACCAAGGCGAUGAUGGGUAGCCGGCCUGAGAGGGUGAACGGCCACAAGGGGACUGAGACACGGCCCUUACUCCUACGGGAGGCAGCAGUGGGGAAUAUUGGACAAUGGACCAAGAGUCUGAUCCAGCAAUUCUGUGUGCACGAUGACGUUUUUCGGAAUGUAAAGUGCUUUCAGUUGGGAAGAAAAAAAUGACGGUACCAACAGAAGAAGUGACGGCUAAAUACGUG